UGAGCAAUCUGCCCUUCUCAUCGGAAUAAGCGUUGGAAACGACGUCUAAUGCCGAAUACGACCUCCUUUCGCAUGAUCGGAGGUGGAAAGCUCCGGCGGAGAAGGAUGAGCUCGCGGCCUAUCAGCUUGUUGGUGGGGUCAUGGCUCACCAAGGCGACGACGGGUAGCUGGUCUGAGAGGACGACCAGCCACACUGGAACUGAGAUACGGUCCAGACUCCUACGGG
rnacentral:rRNA from 1 species